UGGCCAGUGAUGAUAUCCAUUUACAAAAAUACCACCUUUCGGGACUGAAUGGCAUUGAAGCCUUGUUGUUAUUCUACAAUUUUGAGGCCU